GAUGAACGCUGGCGGCGUGCCUAAUACAUGCAAGUCGAGCGAACGGACGAGAAGCUUGCUUCUCUGAUGUUAGCGGCGGACGGGUGAGUAACACGUGGAUAACCUACCUAUAAGACUGGGAUAACUUCGGGAAGCCGGAGCUAAUACCGGAUAAUAUUUUGAACCGCAUGGUUCAAAAGUGAAAGACGGUCUUGCUGUCACUUAUAGAUGGAUCCGCGCUGCAUUAGCUAGUUGGUAAGGUAACGGCUUACCAAGGCAACGAUGCAUAGCCGACCUGAGAGGGUGAUCGGCCACACUGGAACUGAGACACGGUCCAGACUCCUACGGGAGGCAGCAGUAGGGAAUCUUCCGCAAUGGGCGAAAGCCUGACGGAGCAACGCCGCGUGAGUGAUGAAGGUCUUCGGAUCGUAAAACUCUGUUAUUAGGGAAGAACAUAUGUGUAAGUAACUGUGCACAUCUUGACGGGACCUAAUCAGAAAGCCACGGCUAACUACGU
rnacentral:rRNA from 1 species